ACACUUUCUACACCGUAUGGAGAAGAAUGCCACAACGAGAACCAGCUGGGUAUGGAUAAGUUGAUUUGUACUGAAGGAUGUACCCAGAAGGAACUAAUCGAUAAGUGUCAGUGUUUCAAAACCGAUAUCAAAUCUAAUGGAGUUCCUGUAAACAGCUCUUCUACACGACCGUGUGGACGUUACGGUACAGAAAGCUAUAAGUGUAAGAAAACUGUUAAAGAGGAGAAAGAUAAAAUAUCGUUGUGUGAAGCCAAAUGUGUUCCUCCAUGCAG